AUACGGAGGGUGCGAGCGUUAAUCGGAAUUACUGGGCGUAAAGGGUGCGGAGGCGGCUUGAUAAGUCGGAUGUGAAAGCCCCGGGCUUAACCUGGGAAUUGCAUUCGAUACUGUCAGGCUAGAGUAUGUCAGAGGUUGGCGGAAUUCCUGGUGUAGCGGUGAAAUGCGUAGAUAUCAGGAGGAACACCAGUGGCGAAGGCGGCUAACUGGGGCAAUACUGACGCUGAGGCACGAAAGCGUGGGGAGCAAACAGGAUUAGAAACCCUAGUAGUCC
rnacentral:rRNA from 1 species